rnacentral:lncRNA from 1 species
CACCCGGGCAACUAACAGACACUGAAGUCUAUUGGCUGGAGGAAGGGGGACUUUCUGCUGCAGAUUCAGGAACAGAACAACAAGAAAAGACUACCCUGCCAAGCCCAACGGUCACCUUCCAACUCCACAUAUGAUUGGAGGAGCAAGCCACUGCUGACACAUCCUCCAAGAAAUAAAGACCAUGUGGAACUCUGGAAAACUGAAGCAACUCAAAGAAACACAGUGAGGUAUGUUCUAAACAUGCCUUACGCUGGCACUUUCAGAUAACUCUACAUGUGCCCUUAGGAGUGCCACAGGAAGUGACACCCACAGCGCCACCCAAAGGUAGUCAGCUAUUGUUAUGUAAGAGCA